rnacentral:rRNA from 1 species
GAUGAACGCUGGCGGCGUGCCUAAUACAUGCAAGUCGAGCGAACGGACGAGAAGCUUGCUUCUCUGAUGUUAGCGGCGGACGGGUGAGUAACACGUGGAUAACCUACCUAUAAGACUGGGAUAACUUCGGGAAACCGUAGCUAAUACCGGAUAAUAUUUUGAACCGCAUGGUUCAAAAGUGAAAGACGGUCUUGCUGUCACUUAUAGAUGGAUCCGCGCUGCAUUAGCUAGUUGGUAAGGUAACGGCUUACCAAGGCAACGAUGCAUAGCCGACCUGAGAGGGUGAUCGGCCACACUGGAACUGAGACACGGUCCAGACUCCUACGGAAGGCAGCAGUAGGGAAUCUUCCGCAAUGGGCGAAAGCCUGACGGAGCAACGCCGCGUGAGUGAUGAAGGUCUUCGGAUCGUAAAACUCUGUUAUUAGGGAAGAACAUAUGUGUAAGUAACUGUGCACAUCUUGACGGUACCUAAUCAGAAAGCCACGGCUAACUACGUG